UUAAAUGAAUAAGGGCGUAUGGUGGAUGCCUAGGCAUGUAGAGCAGAAGAAGGACGCAGCUAACGGCGAAACGCGACGGGGAGUGGUAAGCACACAUCGAUCCGUCGGUCUCCGAAUGGGGAAACCCAGCGCGAGUAAUGUCGCGUUACCCAUGAGUAAAUCCAUAGCUCAUGAGGAGAGAACCCAGGGAAUUGAAACAUCUUAGUACCUGGAGGAAAAGAAAAUAACAAUGAUUCCCUCAGUAGCGGCGAGCGAACGGGGAAGAGCCCAAACCAGCCUUAGGGCUGGGGUAGUAGGACCACAACGUGGUACAGUAACCGAUAGAAGAAGGACAUUGAAAGGUCCGCCAAAGAGGGUGCAAGCCCCGUAAUCGAAAUUGGGAGCUGACCUAGUGGAAUCCUGAGUACGGCGAGGCACGUGGAACCUUGUCGGAAGCAUCCGGGACCAUCCGGAAAGGCUAAAUACUCCUACAUGACCGAUAGUGAACCAGUACCGUGAGGGAAAGGUGAAAAGAACCGCGGGAGCGGAGUGAAAUAGAACCUGAAACCAUAUGCUUACAAGAAGACAGAGCCCGUUAAGGGGUGAUGUCGUGCCUUUUGUAGAAUGAACCGGCGAGUUAUCUUAUCGUGCGAGGUUAAGUGGAAGACACGGAGCCGAAGCGAAAGCGAGUCUGAACAGGGCGGCAGUACGAUGAGAUAGACCCGAAGCCGUAGUGAUCUAGCCAUGACCAGGUUGAAGUUUGGGUGAAACCAAAUGGAGGACCGAACCGACCCCCGUUGAAAAGUUGGCGGAUGAGUUGUGGCUAGCGGAGAAAUUCCAAUCGAACACGGCGAUAGCUGGUUCUCCCCGAAAUAGCUUUAGGGCUAGCGUCGAAGUAAGGGUAGUGGAGGUAGAGCACUGAAUUCAUGAUGGCGCCGUCAAGGUGUACUGAAUGAAAUCAAACUCCGAAUGCCAUUAUAGCAUCUUCGGCAGUCAGACUGUGGGUGAUAAGGUCCAUGGUCAAAAGGGAAACAGCCCAGAUCAUCAGUUAAGGUCCCAAAAUUACCGCUAAGUGGAAAAGGAUGUGGGGAUGCACAGACAACUAGGAGGUUGGCUUAGAAGCAGCCACCCUUCAAAGAGUGCGUAACAGCUCACUAGUCGAGUGACCCUGCGCCGAAAAUUAACCGGGGCUAAAGCGGUAUACCGAAACUAUGGCAAUGACUCAGGUCAUUGGGUAGGGGAGCGUUCCAUGGGCAUAGAAGCUGUACCGUAAGGAGCAGUGGAGCGCAUGGAAGUGAGAAUGCCGGUGUGAGUAGCGAGAUGCAGGUGAGAAUCCUGCACACCGAUAGACCAAGGAUUCCAGGGGAAGGUUCGUCCGCCCUGGGUAAGUCGGGACCUAAGGCGAGGCUGAAAAGCGUAGUCGAUGGAAAACAGGUUGAUAUUCCUGUACCCGCGCAUCGAGUGAUGGAGUGACAAAGAAGGCUAACCGGACCGGUAAAUGGAUUCCGGACCAAGCGAGGUAGGAGGCAGUCAGGCAAAUCCGGCUGUCAAUCUGAAGGCGUGAUGGGGAGCGAACGGCGCGAGCCAAGUAGCGAAGACGGCGAUGCCAGCUUUCAAGAAAAGCUUCUAGCGUUAAUCGAUGAGCGGCCCGUACCAAAACCGACACAGGUGGUCAAGGCGAGAAGCCUAAGGUGAGCGAGAGAACUGUUGCCAAGGAACUCGGCAAAAUAGCCCCGUACGUUCGCAAGAAGGGGCGCUCGAAAGAGCCGCAGUGAAGAGGCCCAAGCAACUGUUUAACUAAAACACAGCUCUCUGCAAAGUCGCAAGACGAAGUAUAGGGGGUGACGCCUGCCCGGUGCUGGAAGGUUAAGAGGAUAUGUUAGUCGCAAGACGAAGCAUUGAAUUGAAGCCCCAGUGAACGGCGGCCGUAACUAUAACGGUCCUAAGGUAGCGAAAUUCCUUGUCAGGUAAGUUCUGACCCGCACGAAAGGCGUAAUGAUUUG
rnacentral:rRNA from 1 species